rnacentral:rRNA from 1 species
UACGGGGGGGGGCAAGCGUUGUUCGGAAUUACUGGGCGUAAAGGGCUCGUAGGCGGCCAACUAAGUCAGACGUGAAAUCCCUCGGCUUAACCGGGGAACUGCGUCUGAUACUGGAUGGCUAGAGUUUGGGAGAGGGAUGCGGAAUUCCAGGUGUAGCGGUGAAAUGCGUAGAUAUCUGGAGGAACACCGUGGCGAAGGCG